CGCACAUUGCGCCCCUUGGUAUUCCGGGGGGCAUGCCCGUUCGAGCGUCAUUUCACCACUCAAGCCUGGCUUGGUAUUGGGCCCCCGGGGGUGACCCGGGCCCUAAUGUCGUCGGCUGGAAAGUCUCGAUCUCAGCGUUGUGACACAAGUUCGCUGGCGGGAGAGAUUGUUCCGGGCCGUGAAAUACCCACCAAAGGUUGACCUCGGAUCGGGUAGGGAUACCCGCUGAACUUAA
rnacentral:misc_RNA from 1 species